ACGUAAUAGAUACCCCGGUAGUCCACGCCCUAAACGAUGUCUACUAGUUGUUGGUGGAGUAAAAUCCAUGAGUAAACGCAGCUAAACGCGUGAAGUAGACCGCCUGGGGAGUACGGUCGCAAGAUUAAAACUCAAAUGAAUUGACGGGGGCCCGCACAAGCGGUGGAUUAUGUGGAUUAAAUUCGAUGCAACGCGAAAAACCUUACCUGGCCUUGACAUGUAACGAACUUUCCAGAGAUGGAUUGGUGCUCGAAAGAGAACGUUAACACAGGUGCUGCAUGGCUGUCGUCAGCUCGUGUCGUGAGAUGUUGGGUUAAGUCCCGCAACGAGCGCAACCCUUGCCAUUAAUUGCCAUCAUUUAGUUGGGCACUUUAAUGGGACUGCCGGUGACAAACCGGAGGAAGGUGGGGAUGACGUCAAGUCCUCAUGGCCCUUAUGGCCAGGGCUUCACACGUAAUACAAUGGUCGGUACAGAGAGUUGCCAACCCGCGAGGGGAGCCAAUCUCAGAAAGCCGAUCGUAGUCCGGAUUGUAGUCUGCAACUC
rnacentral:rRNA from 1 species